UGGGGAAUAUUGCACAAUGGGCGCAAGCCUGAUGCAGCCAUGCCGCGUGUGUGAAGAAGGCCUUCGGGUUGUAAAGCACUUUCAGCGGGGAGGAAGGCGUUAAGGUUAAUAACCUUGGCGAUUGACGUUACCCGCAGAAGAAGCACCGGCUAACUCCGUGCCAGCAGCCGCGGUAAUACGGAGGGUGCAAGCGUUAAUCGGAAUUACUGGGCGUAAAGCGCACGCAGGCGGUCUGUCAAGUCGGAUGUGAAAUCCCCGGGCUCAACCUGGGAACUGCAUUCGAAACUGGCAGGCUAGAGGAUUGUAGAGGGGGGUAGAAUGCCAGGUGUAGCGGUGAAAUGCGUAGAGAUCUGGAGGAAUACCGGUGGCGAAGGCGGCCCCCUGGACAAAGACUGACGCUCAGGUGCGAAAGCGUGGGGAGCAAACAGG
rnacentral:rRNA from 1 species